rnacentral:lncRNA from 1 species
AUGAAUCAAAUCUUGUGGACUUGCAGCAGAAAUAUGAAAGCAAGAUAUCGUUUUUACUAAAACAACUGCAAAAUGGGUCAGAGGAAGAAGAGAGCCCAGUGCCAAAUGGUGUACACGGAGCACAUAAUACCUUUUUUGUUCCUGACACUCUAGAUGUUUUAGAUAAUGACCCAGACUAUCACCCUGAUAGCUCGAUGGAAUUCGACACACCUUAUAUGAAAGUGACCUAGAAACAAGCAAAACCUUUGAAAAGUUGCAGGUGUUUACUCAGUAAAUGCAAAUCCAAAGUUUGCCCAUGUUUCAAGAAGACAGCGUUCUGUUUGCCUUCAUGUUCUUGUGCUAAUUGUGAAAAUAAGCCGACAUCUGUAUUUGACUCAUCCACCAGCGAUGUGGACAACGAAAAUGAAGACAGACUGAUAGAAUAAGUACUAGAAUCGAUUCAGUCAACUAAAAAUUCUUCAAAGCAGUGCCCCAGCAUGGCCACAGUCUAAUGAUUGAAACAAGUAAAAGAUAAAAGACAUAUA